rnacentral:rRNA from 1 species
GAUGAACGCUGGCGGCGUGCUUAACACAUGCAAGUCGAACGAUGAAGCCCAGCUUGCUGGGUGGAUUAGUGGCGAACGGGUGAGUAACACGUGAGUAACCUGCCCUUAACUCUGGGAUAAGCCUGGGAAACUGGGUCUAAUACCGGAUAGGAGCGCCUACCGCAUGGUGGGUGUUGGAAAGAUUUAUCGGUUUUGGAUGGACUCGCGGCCUAUCAGCUUGUUGGUGAGGUAAUGGCUCACCAAGGCGACGACGGGUAGCCGGCCUGAGAGGGUGACCGGCCACACUGGGACUGAGACACGGCCCAGACUCCUACGGGAGGCAGCAGUGGGGAAUAUUGCACAAUGGGCGAAAGCCUGAUGCAGCGACGCCGCGUGAGGGAUGACGGCCUUCGGGUUGUAAACCUCUUUCAGUAGGGAAGAAGCGAAAGUGACGGUACCCGCAGAAGAAGCACCGGCUAACUACGUG